UCAUGACCUAAAGUGAUCUGCCUGCCUUGGCCUCCCAAAGCACUGGGAUUACAGGCAUGAGCCACCAUGCCUGGCCUGCCCCUCUGUGAUCUUUUUUUUUUAAAGAGGGAUUCAAACAUCUUGCGAUCUGAGACACCAAAACAAAUUCCCCUUUAUCAACUAAGAGGAACCCUACAGUUGAGGAAACAAAAUCUUUGCUACGACUCCUACCAAGAGGUUGAGUCUAUUUCCUCUCUCCUUGGACCUGUGCUGGCCUGUGAUUGCUUUGCCCAAAAGAGUACAUCAGAAGUGACCCAAUGCCAGUGCUGAGGCCUGUCUUUAAGAGUACUGGCAGCUUCCACUUUGUCUCAGCACAGUGAGCCACUGUGUAAGAAGUCCAACAACCUUGCUGGAGAAACCACAUGGAGAGGUCCUGAGGCUGUAAGGAGGGGCAGAACAUCCCGGUUGAACCCCAGCAUGUGAGGCUGGACCCUCCAGACCAGACUGAGUGUCACCUGAAUACCACAGAGUGACACCAUAGGGGCAGAAUUGGACCCCCAAGCCCUGCUUAAAUUCCUUACCUACAAAAUCGCGAGGUAUAAUAAUAUGGUUAGCAUUUUAAGUUGCUAAAUUUAGGGGUAAUGUAUUAUAUAAAAAUAAAUAAUUGAGACAAGGAAUUUCCCCAAAUUUAUAUAGUAUCACUAAUAAUGAAUUGUGACUAUAAGUUGUAAAGAAGAAAAUAGUUAACAUAAAUUAUUGAUAAUAAAUAGCUUUAAUUAACCAUGCUGGAGGAAAGACUUAAUUAUUUUUCUAUUCUCUCUGGAAAAUAUUACAAAACUAUUGUCAUAUGAAGAAGAUAUGAAAAAGUAAGCAGCCAAAAAAGUAGGAAAUGCUGGGUGUGGUGGCUCAGGCAUGUAAUCCCAGCACUUUGGGAGGCUGAGGAAGGUGGGUCGCUUAAGCCCAGGAGUUCGAGACCAACCUGGGCAAUGUGGCGAGCAGCCUGGGAAAAAUUUCUGCAAAAAAAUAAAAAAAUUACCUGGCAUUGUGGAACAUACCUGUAGUUCCACUACUCAAGAGGCUGAGCUGGGAGGGUCACCUAAGUCCAGGAGGUUGAGGUUGCAGUGAGCUGUGACCAUUAUCUUAUCACUCCAGCCUGGGAGACAGAGUUAGACCCUGUCUCAGAAAGAAAAAAAAAAGAAAA
rnacentral:lncRNA from 10 species